GGCAGGCCUAACACAUGCAAGUCGAGCGGAAACGAGUUAUCUGAACCUUCGGGGAACGAUAACGGCGUCGAGCGGCGGACGGGUGAGUAAUGCCUAGGAAAUUGCCCUGAUGUGGGGGAUAACCAUUGGAAACGAUGGCUAAUACCGCAUGAUGCCUACGGGCCAAAGAGGGGGACCUUCGGGCCUCUCGCGUCAGGAUAUGCCUAGGUGGGAUUAGCUAGUUGGUGAGGUAAGGGCUCACCAAGGCGACGAUCCCUAGCUGGUCUGAGAGGAUGAUCAGCCACACUGGAACUGAGACACGGUCCAGACUCCUACGGGAGGCAGCAGUGGGGAAUAUUGCACAAUGGGCGCAAGCCUGAUGCAGCCAUGCCGCGUGUGUGAAGAAGGCCUUCGGGUUGUAAAGCACUUUCAGUCGUGAGGAAGGUAGUGUAGUUAAUAGCUGCAUCAUUUGACGUUAGCGACAGAAGAAGCACCGGCUAACUCC
rnacentral:rRNA from 1 species